GACGAACGCUGGCGGCGUGCUUAACACAUGCAAGUCGAACGGAAAGGCCCUGCUUUUGUGGGGUGCUCGAGUGGCGAACGGGUGAGUAACACGUGAGUAACCUGCCCUUGACUUUGGGAUAACUUCAGGAAACUGGGGCUAAUACCGGAUAGGAGCUCCUGCUGCAUGGUGGGGGUUGGAAAGUUUCGGCGGUUGGGGAUGGACUCGCGGCUUAUCAGCUUGUUGGUGGGGUAGUGGCUUACCAAGGCUUUGACGGGUAGCCGGCCUGAGAGGGUGACCGGCCACAUUGGGACUGAGAUACGAACCAGACUCCUACGGGAGGCAGCAGUGGGGAAUAUUGCACAAUGGGCGGAAGCCUGAUGCAGCAACGCCGCGUGCGGGAUGACGGCCUUCGGGUUGUAAACCGCUUUAGCCUGUGACGAAGCGUGAGUGACGGUAAUGAGUAAAGAAGCACCGGCUAACUACGUG
rnacentral:rRNA from 1 species